GGGGUCAGUAGGCUGGCCGUGCCACCGGUACGUACUGGUCUCACUGAUUCCUCCUUCCUGAAGAACCGUAAUGCCAUUAAUUUGGUGUUGCGGGGAAACAGGACUGUUACUUUGAAAAAAUUAGAGUGUUUAAAGAAAGCUAACGCUUGAAUACAUUAGCAUGGAAUAAUGAAAUAGGACGAUCGAUCCUAUUUUGCUGGUUUCUAGGAUUGACGUA
rnacentral:rRNA from 1 species